rnacentral:rRNA from 1 species
UGAGUACGAGCUGCUACGGCAGCGAAGUGGGUGAUGUCAAGCUUCCAAGAAAAGCCCUAUACCCGUUAAGGCAUGAUGGCCUGUACCCGAAACCGACACAGGUGGGGUGGUAGAGAAUACCGAGGGGCGCGAGAUAACUCUCUCUAAGGAACUCGGCAAAAUGGCCCCGUAACUUCGGGAGAAGGGGUGCCACCGCAAGGUGGUCGCAGUGAAGAGGCCCAGGCGACUGUUUACCAAAAACACAGGUCUCCGCUAAGUCGCAAGACGAUGUAUGGGGGCUGACGCCUGCCCAGUGCCGGAAGGUUAAGGAAGCUGGUCAGCGUAAGCGAAGCUAGCGACUGAAGCCCCGGUGAACGGCGGCCGUAACUAUAACGGUCCUAAGGUAGCGAAAUUCCUUGUCGGGUAAGUUCCGACCCGCACGAAAGGCGUAACGAUCUGGGCGCUGUCUCGGAGAGAGGCUCGGCGAAAUAGAAUUGUCUGUGAAGAUGCGGACUACGUGCACCCGGACAGAAAGACCCUAUGAAGCUUUACUGUAGCUUGGUAUUGUGCUCGGGCUCGGAAUGCGCAGGAUAGGUGGGAGGCUAUGAACCAUUGCUUGUGGGUGAUGGUGAGCCACUGGUGAGAUACCACUCUUUCCGAGCUAGAGUUCUAACAGCCACCCGUUAUCCGGGGGCUGGACAGUAUCAGGUGGGCAGUUUGACUGGGGCGGUCGCCUCCUAAAAGGUAACGGAGGCGCGCAAAGGUUUGCUCAGGCUGGUUGGAAAUCAGCCGACGAGUGUAAAAGCAGAAGCAAGCUUGACUGUGAGACCUACAAGUCGAACAGGGAGGAAACUCGGCUUUAGUGAUCCGACGGUUCUGCGUGGAAGGGCCGUCGCUCAACGGAUAAAAGUUACUCUAGGAUAACAGGCUGAUCUCCCCCAAGAGUUCACAUCGACGGGGAGGUUUGGCACCUCGAUGUCGGCUCAUCGCAACCUGGGGCUGAAGUCGGUCCCAAGGGUUGGGCUGUUCGCCCAUUAAAGCGGUACGCGAGCUGGGUUCAGAACGUCGUGAGACAGUUCGGUCCAUAUCCGGUGCAUGCGCAGGAAUAUUGAGAGGAUUUCUCCCUAGUACGAGAGGACCGGGAGGAACGCACCUCUGGUGUACCAGUUAUCGUGCCAACGGUAAACGCUGGGUAGCCAUGUGCGGAGAGGAUAACCGCUGAAAGCAUCUAAGUGGGAAGCCCACCUCAAGAUGAGUAUUCCCAUGGGGUAACCCAGUAAGGUCACGGGAAGAACACCCGUUGAUAGGCUCUACGUGGAAGCGCAGUAAUGUGUGAAGCGGAGGAGUACUAAUAGACCGAGGGCUUGAC